AAUUGAAAGUUAGAUAUACUUAAUUCCAUAUCAGACUAAAAAAGCCAUUUUCAGUUAAUUUAAUGAAAAUCCUCAUGCACAACUAUCACCAUAAAAGGCCUCUACUUGGUCUCUCUCAAUUCCUCCAAGGGUUUUCUGUGAAGAGAUGGUUGUGAGAUCAGGUACUCUGAAAUAUAAAAAAGUGGCGUGUUGGAGACAGCGAACGCUGAAUGGAGGACUACUGAAUAUUACUAUAUUCCUAUGGAUUUUGAAAACUAUCUAAAGAAUCAACCCCGGUAGAGUGUGUUCAUAGACUGCAGCUGCUCAGCUUCUCAACAAGAUUGUUCAUCGGAAUACUACUGAUAAUACUACUGGUGAUCUGUUCGCGAUUGGCCCUGACGAUUGCCGAACGUUUGAGUGUUUAUUGGCGAUGAUUAUGAGUUUACUAGUCUUGCAUUACUGCUCGCUGGUGUUUGGUCAGAUCAAACACAUUUGCAGCUGUUAGCAACCAAGCGAUUUUGAGCACGGUUCUCUGAUUUUGCGGCUCCUGUCCUAAGUCCAUUUUAUUUAGAAUGUGGUAUUGCUCGUCGAAUUGAAGAGCUUCUAAGGAAGAGAGGUUCUCCGGCCGAGCUCCAGACUGAAGCUGCUUUGGCUCUCCUAGACAUUAGUUCUUAUGUCAUG